GCAUCUUCCAUGAGAAGAUACGGAUGAAACUCGUAUGUUUAA
rnacentral:sRNA from 1 species